rnacentral:rRNA from 1 species
CCUGGUUGAUCCUGCCAGUAGUCAUAUGCUUGUCUCAAAGAUUAAGCCAUGCAUGUCUAAGUACAUACCUUUGCACGGUGAAACCGCGAAUGGCUCAUUAAAUCAGUUAUGGUUCCUUAGAUAGUUCAUAUUACAUGGAUAACUGUGGUAAUUCUAGAGCUAAUACAUGCGAAAAGCUCCGACCGUAUGGGAAGAGCGCUUUUAUUAGACCAAAACCAAUGGGGUCGCAAGAUCCCUUUGUAUGGUGACUCUGGAUAACUUUGUGCUGAUCGCAUGGCCUCGAGCCGGCGACGUAUCUUUCAAAUGUCUGCCCUAUCAACUUUCGAUGGUAAGCGAUUUGCCUACCAUGGUUGUAACGGGUAACGGGGAAUUAGGGUUCGAUUCCGGAGAGGGAGCAUGAGAAAUGGCUACCACAUCUACGGAAGGCAGCAGGCGCGCAAAUUACCCACUCCUAGAUCGGGGAGGUAGUGACGAAAAAUAACAAUACCGGACUCUAUGAGGCUCGGUAAUUGAAAUGAGUACAGUUUAAAACCCUUAACGAGGAUCUAUUGGAGGGCAAGUCUGGUGCCAGCAGCCGCGGUAAUUCCAGCUCCAAUAGCGUAUAUUAAAGUUGUUGCAGUUAAAAGCUCGUAGUUGGAUCUCGGGUACUAGCAUGUGGUACGCUUAAUUGCUGUUACUGCUUGUCUAGUCCUAAUCAAUCGGUUGGCCGUUUAUGCCCUUUAUUGGGUGUUUUCGGUAGCCGGUACGUUUACUUUGAGAAAAUUAGAGUGCUUAAAGCAGGCUUUACGCCUGAAUAAUGUUGCAUGGAAUAAUAGAAUAGGACCUCGGUUCUAUUUUGUUGGUUUUGUAGAGCAUUGAGGUAAUGAUUAAUAGGGACAGACGGGGGCAUUCGUAUUGCGGUGUUAGAGGUGAAAUUCUUGGAUCGCCGCAAGACGAACAACUGCGAAAGCAUUUGCCACGAAUGUUUUCAUUAAUCAAGAACGAAAGUUGGAGGUUCGAAGACGAUUAGAUACCGUCCUAGUUCCAACCAUAAACGAUGCCAACUAGCGAUUAGCUGCUGUUAAUUAAACGACACAGCUAGCAGCUUCCGGGGAACCAAAGUUUUUGGGUUCCGGGGGAAGUAUGGUUGCAAAGCUGAAACUUAAAGGAAUUGACGGAAGGGCACCACCAGGAGUGGAGCCUGCGGCUUAAUUUGACCCAACACGGGAAAUCUCACCCGGCCCGGACACUGUAAGGAUUGACAGAUUGAGAGCUCUUUCUUGAUUCGGUGGGUGGUGGUGCAUGGCCGUUCUUAGUUGGUGGAGCGAUUUGUCUGGUUAAUUCCGAUAACGAACGAGACUCUAGCCUGCG